AUGAUGUCUUGGGCAUUUUCUUUGUUUUUAACACAUGGCCCGUGACACUAGGUUAGUAACCUCCAUUGCACUUUGGGAGAGGGGUGCUCAUCUAAGGUCUGCCCUAGUGCUAGAACCUACGUCAUAAUUUGUUCCUGUGAGGGCCUGCGUGCGCGUGGCCCUUG